rnacentral:lncRNA from 1 species
GGCACUUGUUGUAGGAUUUCAUUCAUUUGAACCAGGCAGGACAGAUCAUCCAUGGAGACAGAACACAGAUUGGGGCUUUCCAGGGGCUGAGGGGAGGGGAGAAUGGGAGUGACUGUGGCAGGGGUGUGAGGUUUCCUUUUAGGGUGAUGAAAAACUUCUGGAACUAGACAGUGAUGGUGACCAUUUAACACUGAGACCAUGCUUACUGCCUCUCCAUUGUAUGCUUCAAAGCCUUAUGUAAUGUAUAUUUUACUAUAUAUUUUUUUUUUUUUAAAUGACCACUGGUGGGUACAUGUCCCAGCUAAGUUUUUAAAACUGAGUGAAAACCCUGUGCUUGGCUGGGUUUGGGGCUCUUAUUUGGGUCCUGAGUGAUUCCAGGUUUUUUUUUUUUUUUUUUUUUGACAGGCAGAUUUAGACAGUGAGAGAGAGACAGAGAGAAAGGUCUUCCUUUCGUUGGUUCACCCCUUAAAUGGCUGCUACAGCCGGCAUGCCGCGCUGAUCUGAAGCCAGGAGCCAGGUGCCUCCUCCUGGUCUCUCAUGCAGGUGCAGGACCCAAGCACUUGGGCCAUCCUCCACUGCCCUCCUGGGCCACAACAGAGAGCUGGACUGGAAGAGAAGCAACCAGAACUAGAACCAGGUGCCCCAACCGGGACUAGAACCCGGGGUGCCGGCGCCACAGGUGGAGGAUUAGCCUAGUGAGCCGCGGCGCCGGCCUCCAGGGACUCUACUUCAUUUUCCAUUGCAGAGAGAGCAGAAUCACCAAAGGCCGCCUGUUCUGUCCAGUGUGCUCUGUGACCCUGACCAGCCUCAGGGGAGGCAGGCAGCAGAAAUUCUCCGCACUCGUCCCAGGCCAUGUGGCUGGAUGGACACAGCGCGGCUGCAAUGCUCUCGUUCUGCACGGUUUCCUGCACUGAUGCUUCAUGGGAGGAGCGCUGCGUGCACCGCUGUUUCCGGGAGGGGGAGGGGGAUGUGUUCCACAGCCCGGCCAGAGGCUUGGGAAGGAUCUGUGUGCCGCAAGCCUGUGGGCCGGCGGCUGCCUGUUCCGGUUUGGGAGAGGAAGUGGACACACGAGCCCAUCCGUUUGUCCUGAUCCCGGAGAUCAUUGGUUAACUGCUUAGAUCUGGGCCUCUCUCUUCCAUAGCUUUGCCCCGUGACUGGCCCGAUAGGAAAUACAAGCCCUAGCCCAUUUUUCUAAGUGGAGCCAUGUGACGAGUUCUGGUCAAUGAGACAUGAGGAGACAGUUUCUCAGACCUACAGACUCGGAUCCAGCCAGUGAUCACUUGUCCUUGCCGGCUGCCUGGCUGGAAGGGACAGGGCCCAGAGCAGCCUUGGAAACCACAUAGUGA